UUUCUGCUGAAUGCUUGGGCGGGUGUCACUAUAAGACACGAAACAACAUGACGCGCAUACGCUGCUGUUCUCAAGGUGAGAAAAGGGAAGUUUAAUUUCUGCCUCCAACCUUUAUAGAUUUCCAAAGGUGACAGUGGAUUGGAGGGUGAACGUGCCACCUCUCCAAUGACACUGGACAAACCAAUAGUCCAUCAAACGUCUCCUCCUCCAUAAAAGAAUGCAAAACAAUAAGUUAUUUCCAGAAAGUGUGUGUGAAAGUUCAUUACAAGAAUGUAACAUCAGAAGGCUUAGAAAAUCUUGAAAAAUCAGGGCGACAGUGCGGGUAUGAGCAAAUGCAUCAGUAAGUGUGUGUGUUUCAAAUGCUGGGUAGCUUUAUGACCAGCAGCAGACUCCUGUUUAUUUAGGGGGAAGGGGAGAUUUGUUUUGAAAAGUCUGAAAUGGAAAUACCUCCAUGGACUUCAGUUGUUGAAUUACUGAUGUUAUUAUUCAAGACUGCUUUGUAAAUAAUGAUAAAUUGUCAUGAGAAUACACAGGUAUCUAAUCUUCCUUUUUUGUGAUUUUGAGUGAGGUAGCUUGUGUGUGUUUCUUAGCUGGGAUUUUAUUUGGCUUAUUUGUUCAAUCCUUUGUCAAACCUUGGAAAAGCUGUAUGUGUGAAGGUGCAUGGCAUAAUUUAAAACAAGGCAGGAAUGUGAUACAGUGAUCCUUUUUUGCUGGUCGUAGAGUAAGAGUAGCUCUUUUUGACACACCACAAAGAUACUGAGUCUCAAGGAACUUUGUAGCUGAAUAACAACUGGCUUUCAAAUGUUUAACAUUUGUUUUUCUGUUCCAAGUGUGUAUGGGAGAAGCCUAGAAGGUCAAGAGAAAAUAAGCAGAAGUCAAAGACAGAUUGUAAGACAAAUAGUAACAUCUGACCAUUCCACUUUCCAUGGGAUUAAGAAUGGUUGUGGAUUGCUCUUUUAGGACCUCGGUUUACAGCUGCAGUGCCAUGGAAGGAAAAAUAGGGUGUUUGCCAUUACUCUGCUGGCUUCAGAUCCUAGAAUAAAUAUAGUAUUCAAGGAUGGAUCCCUGAAUGUUGAGAGGUGAUGACAAUUGCCAGAAACAGUGACUAGCAGCAAGAGACUGCAAUAUCCACCUUAAUUGCAUUCUAUAUUUUUCGACAUAAUUUACAGUUUUAAAGUGUUGAAAAGUUACAUUUUGAAUGUAUGAAAUCUCCCAAUGUGUUGUUCAUGAAAACAGGCAAAGCAUCUCCCUAGUCCUACCACUGCCCAUCCCCUGUGACCUAAAAAAUUCUCUGAAAAAGCGUGAUGUGCACCUUGACACAGGAGAGAGAAGAAUGUACUGCAGGAGAAAAAGGUGUUUUGUGGAACAAAUCAGAAGGUAUUUCUAGGAUAGGAUAAAAAAUGCUGAAGAUGAAGCUGUUUAACAAAAGGAGAUCACAAAAGAUUUGCAUUGAAACCUUGGCUUGCAAUUUAAUCUGGAAGUCCCUGCAUGAAUCAUUUGAAGAAUGUCACACAGCGCAAAGUAGGUGGUCCUUUGCUGAGAAAGCAGAAGAUAAAAUACUCUGAUGUUAAAAUUUGGUUUAGGUGAACCUAGCAAAGGUGGCUGUCAUUGAAGUUACAUAAUACUUUCCUUUAUGAGACCUUUUCUAUGCUAGUGUAUAAUUUGAAAAGCAUGGACCUGAUUUCUCCAUGGCUAUCAUCAGUCUUAGGCUAAUUUUCUGGGGAAAGUUUCAGUAGACAAUGAAACAAUUCAAGGCAAAACACAGUCUACACAAUGCAUGUUUUUUUUAAAAAAAAAAUCUUAUAACCACCUUUAUCAGGUGGUUAAAGAAGCUGGAGAGCCUGGAGUCAGGAAUCUGUGUAAAUCUGACUGUAUCUCCAUCCCCUCUGAAAAUUUCCUAUGUAGUCUCUAUGGGAGUUUGGCAGCAGCAGUCUCUGAAGAUUCUGUGCUGCCCAUACUCUCAAGCCCAGGGAAUCUGGGCUGAAUAGGAGGGGUUUUUAAUGUUUGACAUCCAAAUCUCCCUGUGGCUCCUGUGGUUUAUCUGUUCUCCCUUCCCAGCAUCUUUGUGGCUCUAUUUUAUUCGUACUGGACCACAGUCACUGAUGUUAAGAAAGGCAGAUGAGAGGGAUUUACAUCAGUGAAGCUGGAUAUUUGUGAUAUUCAUGGCACUUUGGAUAUCAGGUUUUACUUACGGUGAUACAGGGGUAGAGGUCUGGAGUUUUUUGGAGGUAAAACCAGCAGGAUUUGGAAAUUAUCCAAAUGUGGGAUUUAGAGGAAAGAAGAAAGAAAAAGAAAAAAUCAACCACAAAGCUUAAAGAAAAAAAAGUGAAUUUUUAAGUGAUAAGAGUAAAGAGGAUGGGCUGGAUUCAUUUUUUUUGUGUUUGAAGGUGUGGUGUUACAACAGGGCAAAAGGAUGCAAGAUCCCAAUUGAAAGGGGACAAUUAGAGCUUGAAAGAAGGAAUAAAUUUUUAAGUCAUUGAUGUUCACAAGGUGAAGGUAAAAACACUCUUCAGUUUGUUCGCUUUCCAGCCCCAGGGACAAGGUACUGUAUUGAGCCCCUGUAAAUACUGUAUUGUAUUUAAAGAGAUUGCUGUGCUUUGUAAAAAUGCUUGGCUGGGUAAAGCAAGCAGCUUGCAGACCUGUGGGAUUUGUUGUCAAAAAAAUGCCUUUUAUUUCCACAAUAUGGAUUUAAAGGGAAACUGAACAGGUAGUUGGACGAGAUACCUAUUGAUGUAACUGAGAAGGAAAGCCACAGGAAGCUUGGAAAAUGCCCUAAAUGGCUUCUGCUUGGAGGCUGAGAAGUUAUACUGGGUGAGGUGCACUCUUGACCUGCCAUUUAUAUACUCUUAGGAUGACAUUCUUCUGGAGCCCAUGUUUUGUCCUUGCACAGUGUUAAGGUUCAGGAGCUUUGGGGAGGAAGGGAGAAAGCCAUUUUGAAGUUUCCCAGGCUGCAGACAGAGCUCAGGUGAGAUAUUUAAUAGGAUUGAAAGGGCUUCCAGGGAGCUGCUCGCUGACCCCUGGGUUACCUUCCUGUACAGUCUGGCACCUCUCUUGUUGCACUUAUAUUUGCUGAGUGCAACUGGUUGGAUUUCUUAUUUAUUCUCCUAUAUAACCUUCCAUGUAGAAAUCACCCUACAUCAUAUUCUCCUACAAGUCAUGCCCCCAAAAUAUACAUUAACUCUUUAAUUUCAGAAGAUAAAUUUUCUCUCUGAAAAUUAAAGAGUUUUUCCAGCUAUUUCACUGAUG